rnacentral:rRNA from 1 species
GGGUGGUAAUGCCGGAUGCUCCGGUUGGAUGCAUGUCCUUCCGGGAAAGAUCCGUCGGUAUGGGAUGGGGUCGCGUCCUAUCAGCUUGAUGGCGGGGUAACGGCCCACCAUGGCUUCGACGGGUAGCCGGCCUGAGAGGGCGACCGGCCACAUUGGGACUGAGAUACGGCCCAGACUCCUACGGGAGGCAGCAGUGGGGAAUAUUGCACAAUGGGCGCAAGCCUGAUGCAGCGACGCCGCGUGCGGGAUGGAGGCCUUCGGGUUGUAAACCGCUUUUGAUCGGGAGCAAGCCCUUCGGGGUGAGUGUACCUUUCGAAUAAGCACCGGCUAACUACGUGCCAGCAGCCGCGGUAAUACGUAGGGUGCAAGCGUUAUCCGGAAUUAUUGGGCGUAAAGGGCUCGUAGGCGGUUCGUCGCGUCCGGUGUGAAAGCCCAUCGCUUAACGGUGGGUCUGCGCCGGGUACGGGCGGGCUGGAGUGCGGUAGGGGAGACUGGAAUUCCCGGUGUAACGGUGGAAUGUGUAGAUAUC